CCCUUAGAGUUUGAUCAUGGCUCAGAAUGAACGCUGGCGGCAUGCCUAACACAUGCAAGUCGAACGAAGGCUUCGGCCUUAGUGGCGCACGGGUGCGUAACGCGUGGGAAUCUGCCCUCAGGUUCGGAAUAACAGCGAGAAAUUGCUGCUAAUACCGGAUGAUAUCGCGAGAUCAAAGAUUUAUCGCCUGAGGAUGAGCCCGCGUAGGAUUAGCUAGUUGGUGUGGUAAAGGCGCACCAAGGCGACGAUCCUUAGCUGGUCUGAGAGGAUGAUCAGCCACACUGGGACUGAGACACGGCCCAGACUCCUAUGGGAGGCAGCAGUGGGGAAUAUUGGACAAUGGGCGAAAGCCUGAUCCAGCAAUGCCGCGUGAGUGAUGAAGGCCUUAGGGUUGUAAAGCUCUUUUACCCGGGAUGAUAAUGACAGUACCGGGAGAAUAAGCUCCGGCUAACUCCGUGCCAGCAGCCGCGGUAAUACGGAGGGAGCUAGCGUUAUUCGGAAUUACUGGGCGUAAAGCGCACGUAGGCGGCUUUGUAAGUUAGAGGUGAAAGCCUGGAGCUCAACUCCAGAAUUGCCUUUAAGACUGCAUCGCUUGAAUCCAGGAGAGGUGAGUGGAAUUCCGAGUGUAGAGGUGAAAUUCGUAGAUAUUCGGAAGAACACCAGUGGCGAAGGCGGCUCACUGGACUGGUAUUGACGCUGAGGUGCGAAAGCG
rnacentral:rRNA from 1 species